AUUCAAAUCAUUUGAUCGGAUGCUGUUAGUGGAAAAGAUCCUCUCCGAUCUCUUUCCCUCGUAAGCCAAAAGAAAACCCAGCUUCUCUGCUUCUCAUUCUUUUUCCUUUCCACUUCACACAACUUCUGACGACCAAAAACGACCACGUGCGGCGGACACCUGCGGUCGUGGCAGAACCGAUUCAGAGGAAUCAAAACAACGACGACCCUUGAUCGCAUGGAGCACAACGAUUUGGGGCGUGGAAGCGAUUAUAUCGUUCGUUAAUCACAUGGAAGAAUCCUGGUGUUUUUGCAGGCUUCGACGUAACACCGUCACGGAUCAAUGUCCAGGUUAUAAGUCUCAGUGAUCCAGGCAUCACAGCUCACUUCGAAUCAUCUGAGAAUCACUCAAGUACGGGCCAAGAGUCGGGAAUUGUUACCAAAUUUCGUUUGAAAUGGUUGUAAGGCUUAAUACUGUAUCCGUAGAUGGAUCCUUCAAAAGGAUCCCUAAAAUUAGGUUAUUGGACGAAAGCCAUUAAAAUGGUUGGAAGGAUUAAUAUUGUAUCCUUAGAUGGAUCCUUCAAGGGUCCAUAAAAUUAGGUUAUUGGACGAAAACCAUCACCUGAA